rnacentral:rRNA from 1 species
GCAGUCGAACGAGAAAGUACCUUCGGGUGCGAGUAGAGUGGCGCACGGGUGAGUAACGCGUAGGUGACGUACCUUUUAGUGGGGGACAACAUCGGGAAACCGGUGCUAAUACCGCAUAUUCAAUACGACAUUGAAAAAGUAUUGCAAAGAUGGCCUCUCCUUGGAAGCUAUUGCUAAAAGCACGGCCUGCGUUGCAUUAGCUAGUUGGUAAGGUAAUGGCUUACCAAGGCGACGAUCAGUAGCUGGUUUGAGAGGAUGAUCAGCCACACUGGAACUGAGACACGGUCCAGACUCCUACGGGAGGCAGCAGUGGGGAAUUUUCUGCAAUGGGCGAAAGCCUGACAGAGCAAUACCGCGUGAGGGAUGAAGGCUUGUGGGUCGUAAACCUCUUUUUUCAGGGAGGAAGUUCUGACGUGUACCUGAAGAAUAAGCAUCGGCUAACUCCGUGCCAGCAGCCGCGGUAAGACGGAGGAUGCAAGUGUUAUCCGGAAUUACUGGGCGUAAAGCGUCUGUAGGUGGUUUAGUAAGUUUAUUGUUAAAUCUUGAGGCUCAACUUUAAAUCAGCAAUGGAAACUGCUAGACUCGAGUAUGGUAGAGGUAAGAGGAAUUUUCAGUGGAGCGGUGAAAUGCGUAGAUAUUGGAAAGAACACCGAUGGCGAAGGCAUCUUACUGGGCCAUUACUGACACUCAGAGACGAAAGCUAGGGUAGCAAAUGGGAUUAGAUACCCCAGUAGUCCUAGCAGUAAACGAUGGAUACUAGAUGUUGCCCGUAUCAACCCGUGCAGUGUCAAAGCUAACGCGUUAAGUAUCCCGCC